UACGUAGGGGGCAAGCGUUGUCCGGAUUUAUUGGGCGUAAAGCGCGCGUAGGCGGACCUGCAAGUCGGGGGUGAAAGCCCGAGGCUCAACCUCGGAACUGCCUUCGAUACUGCGGGUCUCGAGUCCGGGAGAGGUGAGUGGAAUUCCUAGUGUAGAGGUGAAAUUCGUAGAUAUUAGGAAGAACACCAGUGGCGAAGGCGGCUCACUGGCCCGGUACUGACGCUGAGGCGCGAAAGCGUGGGGAGCGAACAGG
rnacentral:rRNA from 1 species